rnacentral:rRNA from 1 species
GACGAACGCUGGCGGCGUGCUUAACACAUGCAAGUCGUACGGUAAGGCCCUUUCGGGGGUACACGAGUGGCGAACGGGUGAGUAACACGUGAGUAACCUGCCCACAACUUUGGGAUAACGCUAGGAAACUGGUGCUAAUACUGGAUAUGUUCUCCUGCUGCAUGGUGGGGGUUGGAAAGCUCCGGCGGUUGUGGAUGGACUCGCGGCCUAUCAGCUUGUUGGUGGGGUAGUGGCCUACCAAGGCGGCGACGGGUAGCCGGCCUGAGAGGGUGACCGGCCACAGUGGGACUGAGAUACGGCCCAGACUCCUACGGGAGGCAGCAGGGGGGAAUAUUGCACAAUGGGCGCAAGCCUGAUGCAGCAACGCCGCGUGCGGGAUGACGGCCUUCGGGUUGUAAACCGCUUUCAGCAGGGACGAAGCUUUUUGUGACGGUACCUGCAGAAGAAGCACCGGCUAACUACGUG